AUUUUUCCUUAUUUUUUAACCACAUAUUCUCCACUGUAAAACUAUUGCAAAAUACAUCUUUAAAAGCAAAAAAAAAAAGAAAAAAAAAAAGCUCAAACAACCCCUUAACAUCAAUAACAUCAAAUGUCAAAAGUUUCACAAAAUUCAUGACAAUUCUUAUACAACAACAAUGAUCUGAUUCACAUCAUGAUACGUGCGCAUUGAGGGAGAUCAGUUGGAUCUUGAAGAUCUAAUCCGCGCUGUCAAAUAAUGUGCACGUGCACGAAAAUGGAUCAAGCAUUUGUUAGCAAUUUUUAGCUAUUAUUUUGGAGUCAGUUAAUCGUGGUCUUAAGUUUAGAAAAAUUUGUUAGCCAUUAAUUAUUUAAACUCUUCCAGAGGAAUUAAUAAAGGCAUGUAAAAUUUUAUCCAAAUCUUGUGGUUUCAUUCUCACCCAAAGAGAAUUCUGUUAGCAGUUACUAUCAAACUUCUAAUUGGGACCUAUCAUUGGUAUUAGAGCUUUAUCACUAUGGCAUCCAACAAAGAGAGAGUUGAGGUCCUGGAGGUUGGACUCGGCGGAGUACAGGAAGGCAUGCAACGGAUUAAAUUGGCUGUGUCUAACAAACUGCACCAAUUGGAGGACACAAUCAACAAGAUCUCAGAAGCUUUGUUGUCAUCCAAGGCGUCGCCUAGUCACAACAACCAUGAAAGGGAAGGAAUUCUCGAGAACAUACAAAGAGGAUACAAACAACGAGAAGAACUAAGAGGACGGUAAUGGUGGGAGACAAUUAUUCUCAUCAAAGAUGGCCAAAGUGGAAUUUUCGAACUACGCCGAAGAUGAUCCAACCGAAUGGUUCAAUCGAGUGGCUCAAUUCUUCGAGUAUCAAGGCUAGACAGACAACUAGAGGCGAGGCUAUCUUUGGCUUCCUUCCAUCUUGAAGGAGAAGCCAACUAGAGGUGGCAAUGGAUGCGUCGAGCUUAUAGAGAGGUGGGCCGGUCAGUGACAUGGGAAAUCUUUGAGAAAGAACUAUGGGCUCGAUUCGGACCCAUUGAUGGAGAAGAUUUUGAUGAAGCUCUCUCACAUAUUUUGCAAGAGGUUCCUUGCGAGAAUAUCAGUGGGAAUUUGAAAAGCUAGGCAACCGUGUACAAGGUUGGAUUCAGAAGGCAUUGGUAGGAACUUUCAUGGGUGGACUCAAACCGGAGAUAGCUGAAGGAAUUCGUAUGUUCAAACCAUGGACAUUGAAGGAAGCUAUCAGCCUUGCUCGGAUGCGAGAUGAACAGCUGCUACGCCAACAGAGUUUCACACGGCCACUUCCAGCCAACGGGUCGCAGCUGACCCUGCCAACUCCAAUGCUAUCCAUACCAACAUGAGGCUCACGUGGGAUGAAAUGCAGAAAUGGAGAGUACAGGGUCUCUGUUUCGAUUGAAAAUUUGAAAUGAUAGGUUUACUGCUGCUCACAAGUGCCAAAUAUCACAACUUUUACUGCUUGAGGGAUGCACAAACACGAGCAAAAUUACCUGUGAAGAGAUGAUAGAGGACAACCCGUGUGAAGAUAAAGCAAGUGCAAGUGAGAAACAUCGAAGACCUCCUGAAGCAGUAUCCAAGUGUGGACCUUGGGGUCAAGUGUCCACUUGAGGGGGAGGUAUUGAUACGUGCAUGCAGGGAGAUUCUUGACCUAGUCCACUUUGUCAAAUAAUGUGCACGUACAGGAAAAUGGGUCAAGCAUUUGUUAGCAAUUGUUAGCUAUUAUUUUGGAGUCAGUUAAUUGUGGUCUUAAGUUUAUGAAAAAUUGUUAGCCAUUAAUUAUUUAAACUAUUCUAGAGGAAUUAACAAAGGCAUGUAAAAUUUUAUCCAAAUCUUGUGGUUUCAUUCUCAUUCGAAGAGAAUUCACAUAAGGAAAAUUCUAAUGAAUAAUGCUCCUUGGCUAGGGUCAAUGACAGGAGGUGAGGUGAUAGGGUAUUGUGGCAGGAUGUGAUUGGU
rnacentral:lncRNA from 1 species